GAUGAACGCUGGCGGCGUGCUUAACACAUGCAAGUCGAACGGAAAGGCCCAAGCUUGCUUGGGUACUCGAGUGGCGAACGGGUGAGUAACACGUGGGUGAUCUGCCCUGCACUUCGGGAUAAGCCUGGGAAACUGGGUCUAAUACCGGAUAGGACCACUUCUUGGAUGUUGUGGUGGAAAGUUUUUUCGGUGUGGGAUGAGCUCGCGGCCUAUCAGCUUGUUGGUGGGGUAAUGGCCUACCAAGGCGUCGACGGGUAGCCGGCCUGAGAGGGUGUACGGCCACAUUGGGGCUGAGAUACGGCCCAGACUCCUACGGGAGGCAGCAGUGGGGAAUAUUGCACAAUGGGCGCAAGCCUGAUGCAGCGACGCCGCGUGGGGGAUGACGGCCUUCGGGUUGGAAACUCCUUUCGCUAGGGACGAAGCGUUUUGUGACGGUACCUGGAGAAGAAGCACCGGCUAACUACGUG
rnacentral:rRNA from 1 species